CCGCCGAACUUUGCGCGUUCGGUCCACGCUCAGGCGGAAGCGCAGCAGAGUCAGCGCCACGGCCACGCGCAUCUCGGCCAUGGCGAAGCUCUGUCCGAUGCAGUUCCUGGAGGAAGAACGACCCACCCAGCACAGGGUCUGGCACACAGUAGGAGCUCAAUAAUAUUUGUGGACUUAAUGAAUUCGCAUCGUGUGCCUCUUUGUGCUUCUGAAGUCUGCCUUGAGAUGGACAUGCCCAGAGUAGUUGCUGGUUCGAGGAGCAGGAAGAGCUAUGUGGAACAGACCCUAGCCCAAACCUCAGUUUGGAAGCAACCCCAUUCAAC